AUUGAACGCUGGCGGCAUGCUUUACACAUGCAAGUCGAACGGCAGCGCGGGCUUCGGCCUGGCGGCGAGUGGCGAACGGGUGAGUAAUACAUCGGAACGUGCCCAGUAGUGGGGGAUAGCUCGGCGAAAGCCGGAUUAAUACCGCAUACGACCUGAGGGUGAAAGCGGGGGAACUUCGGACCUCGCGCUAUUGGAGCGGCCGAUGGCAGAUUAGCUAGUUGGUGGGGUAAAGGCCUACCAAGGCGACGAUCUGUAGCUGGUCUGAGAGGACGACCAGCCACACUGGGACUGAGACACGGCCCAGACUCCUACGGGAGGCAGCAGUGGGGAAUUUUGGACAAAGGGCGAAAGCCUGAUCCAGCAAUGCCGCGUGUGUGAUGAAGGCCUUCGGGUUGUAAAGCACUUUUGGCGGGAACGAAAAGGACUGUGCCAAUACCACGGUUCGAUGACGGUACCCGCAGAAUAAGCACCGGCUAACUACGUG
rnacentral:rRNA from 1 species